CGUUGAUUACGUCCCUGUCCUUUGUACACACCGCCCGUCGCUACUACCGAUUGAAUGGCUCAGUGAGGCCUUCGGACUGGCUUAGGGAGGUUGGCAACGACCACCCAGAGGCGGAAAGUUAUCCAAACUUGGUCAUUUAGAGG
rnacentral:rRNA from 1 species